AUCCCCAGAAUGAAGGGAGUUUCUGACACAUAGGUUUUUCAGGAGGUGGCAGAAGUUCCACACUGUGUGACUUUGCCAUGUGACAUGCCAAAGGGCAGAGAGGCGGGCAGUAGACAGGACUAUAAACUGAUCUUGCAGUUGCAGGGGAAGAGCCUGGCUUGCCUCCCUUUCUCAGCUGAGGCCUGAGUGCUGUGACAGCAGGCCCCUGACAGUUCUUUGUCCUAAGGGACAGACUGCAGGAGGGGCAUAGCCUGAUUUUUGGGAAGAGUGGAAUGGCUAGAGGCGUUUGUGAUCUAGCAAGGUGGCUACAGAAAAUUCCACCAAAAUAUUUGAUGAGCAGGCAGUGGAAAUUACUUUGUUCACUUGAACAGAAAACAGUGGACCUGAAAACGCCCAGAUGUGUGAUCUCCACCUACCAGAGGCUCCUGGGUUUUCUCUUGAAAAAACAGCCUGCUGUCCUGAUGGCCAAGUCCCUCACAUGAGCACUGUUCACGUGGCCAUCUUUCCUUCAUGGUACUUUGAGAACCGGCAUGAAGCCUUUUGUUCUGAAAUGGAAAUUCAUAAAAAUGAAUGGGUUAAAAGAAAUAACUGAAUCCAUUUAAGAAAAGAGAAGGAAGGCAGUGUUUUAAGACAGGCUUUACACUAGCUGCUGCCACCUACUUGCUGUGUGUCUUUGGGCUACACCCUUUACCUCUCUAAAUUCCACUUUUUACAUCUGUAAUAGCAAGCAAAUACAGCCUACCUCCUGAAGCUGUAGGAAUUAACUGAAGAUAAAGCACUAGUGCUAGUGCAGUGCCUGGCACCCUGUUGUUGCUCAGUGAAUAUUGUGAAAAUUAAAGCUUUUUCUUAAUUGA